GGCUUUUUUUUUUUUUUUUUCCCUCCCUUCUCCCACCCCCUUCUCUCUGCUGAUCCCCGCGACCUACGUUUUCCUGGGGGUCCGCAACUCUGGACCCAAGGACCCGGCCACCCCCUCAGGACAACUCGCAUCUCAGCAGAGCAGCCCCUGGCCCAGGUCCACCCAUAGGCAGAUGGCCUCCGCCCCCACCCCCGGGAGGAUUUCUUAAUGGGGUGAAAAUGCAAGUCCCCGAAGCCAGGGUUCCGGGACCCCCCGGGCCGAGCUGGGCGCGGGAGCCCCGCAGGGGCGGAGAGACCCGGCGAGCCUGAAGAAGUGGAGGAGAGAUCUACACAACUUCAGUGGGGCGUACCCAUCCUGUCUUCCUGUUCACCCUCCUCUGCCCCCAACUCCAUCUCUGAGACCUCCUGCCCCCCCACUUGAAAAAAGAAGUCGCUCGCGGGCUCUGUCUGCAGAGAGCCAGGGUGAGAGCGGGCAAGGCGAAAGAGCGACCUCGGUCGUGGGCAAGUAGCUUGUUUUUACGUCCUUCAAUAAAAAUUUUAUGAGGAUCA